CCAAAUAACCCGUAAAACAUGCUUUACAGGGAUGAGUCAGUUACACCUUUGUAUAUCCCAACAAAACAAAAAAGAACAAAACAACACAUUCAAAAGAAUGUAUUUUCACCGCAAUGACAUAUAGAAUUCUAGCUGGAAAGAUUGAACAGUAACGCUCUGGAAUGUCAUGAGAACACAACAGGAAUUAACCAAAGUAAUAUAGCCUGCAGCUACUCACAGAAACUAAUUUUGUUUAAAAAAAAAACCUGCAUUCCAAAGUUUACAGAAAUAAGAAUAAGAUACUUAUAUAAACAUUUUCUCUAAAAAGGUACCACAAAAAUAGGAAGCUUUCCUCAGGACAUGAAACCAGAUGUGCCAUGAAGUUAUUACUGGACAUACAAACUAUGCGUACCACAAACCUGAUGCUGCGGUGUUACAAUGAUUCUCAAGGGCUUAGCCACCUACCUAUCUCAUUCUUUCAGUGUCUUAGACAUAGCAUAUAUGCCCAAAAGGAGCACUUUAUAGCACCAAAGACGUUCCACUGGAAACACAGUGAAAAGAUCUCAAAAGGCUCCAACAGCACAAAGAGAAAAGAAGUAGAAAACAAGCAUAAAGAUUGUUAUACUCUGAAAUGUGACUACAUAAAAAGUGGCACUUCUUUAAAACAGUGAUAACACAAGUAAGAGAGUGAGAGCUGACUCUAUACUUUCCUCCUGUGCAAAUUCACUGAAUUCAAGGGGGUUUCACAGGUGUCACUGAAGACACAAUUUAAAGAUUGCACAGGUGUGACUAAUUUAGCCUACAGAACCUUUAUAAGGGAAAAAAUGCAGCCAGACUUUCAGAUCCAAGGCAAACUUCACAGAAUUCAGAACAAAUUACUCCAAUGUACUGUUACAUUUUGUCCCCCAAUUCAAGUUUGAAAAUUUCAGGAAUCCAUGAGUGGUAUGUAUAUGUGCCCAUGUGUGGGUGUGAAUGCUUAAAUUUCCAUAGAAAUAAAAACUGCAGGAUAGAAUGUGCAGUAACCAGAU